rnacentral:rRNA from 1 species
UACGUAGGACCCAAGCGUUGUCCGGAUUCACUGGGUAUAAAGGGUGCGUAGGCGGUCUUGUGCGUCAGAGGUGAAAUAUCCGGGCUUAACCCGGAGGGUGCCUUUGAUACGGCAGGACUUGAGUGCGAGAGAGGAUGAUGGAAUUCCUGGUGUAGCGGUGAAAUGCGUAGAUAUCAGGAGGAACACCGGUGGCGAAGGCGGUCAUCUGGCUCGUAACUGACGCUGAGGCACGAAAGCGCGGGGAUCAAACAGGAUUAGAUACCCUGGUAGUCCGCGCCCUAAACGAUGUAUGCUUGGUGUUGGUCUCGCAAGAGAUCAGUGCCGUAGGAAAUCUGCUAAGCAUACCACCUGGGGAGUACGAUCGCAAGGUUGAA